CAGUAACGGCGAGUGAAGCGGCAACAGCUCAAAUUUGAAAUCUGGCUCUCGGGCCCGAGUUGUAAUUUGUAGAGGAUGCUUUUGGUGAGGUGCCUUCCGAGUUCCCUGGAACGGGACGCCAUAGAGGGUGAGAGCCCCGUCUGGUUGGACACCGAUCCUCUGUAAAGCUCAUUCGACGAGUCGAGUAGUUUGGGAAUGCUGCUCUAAAUGGGAGGUAUAUGUCUUCUAAAGCUAAAUACCGGCCAGAGACCGAUAGCGCACAAGUAGAGUGAUCGAAAGAUGAAAAGAACUUUGAAAAGAGAGUUAAACAGUACGUGAAAUUGUUGAAAGGGAAGCGCUUGUGACCAGACUUGGGCUUGGUUGAUCAUCCGGGGUUCUCCCCGGUGCACUCUUCCGGCCCAGGCCAGCAUCAGUUCGCCCUGGGGGACAAAGGCUUCGGGAAUGUGGCUCUCUCCGGGGAGUGUUA
rnacentral:rRNA from 1 species